CCUACGGGAGGCAGCAGUGGGGAAUAUUGCACAAUGGGCGCAAGCCUGAUGCAGCCAUGCCGCGUGUGUGAAGAAGGCCUUCGGGUUGUAAAGCACUUUCAGCGGGGAGGAAGGCGUUAAGGUUAAUAACCUUGUCGAUUGACGUUACCCGCAGAAGAAGCACCGGCUAACUCCGUGCCAGCAGCCGCGGUAAUACGGAGGGUGCAUGCGUUAAUCGGAAUUACUGGGCGUAAAGCGCACGCAGGCGGUCUGUCAAGUCGGAUGUGAAAUCCCCGGGCUCAACCUGGGAACUGCAUUCGAAACUGGCAGGCUAGAGUCUUGUAGAGGGGGGUAGAAUUCCAGGUGUAGCGGUGAAAUGCGUAGAGAUCUGGAGGAACACCGGUGGCGAAGGCGGCCCCCUGGACAAAGACUGACGCUCAGGUGCGAAAGCGUGGGGAGCAAACAGGAUUAGAUACCCGUGUAGUC
rnacentral:rRNA from 1 species